UUGGAUAUCUUCAACAAUUCAAUGAAGAAGUUAUUCAUUUAUCUUCAUACUUCUCCCUCUAAUCUUCUUCUUCUUCUUCUUCUCCUUUGCAAUAUGAGUCACUUUUCUAUUGCAUUUUAUUAAUUAUCGUACUUCAAUAUCUUAGAUAUUGGUUUUUUUGUAUUGUAUUUCAGUGUUUGUAUUCUAUUUUGUGCUAUUGUUAUUAACUAGUAUGCUAAAUUUAUCUAUAUCGUAUAUUUUUUUUAAAGAAAAAAAUAUAUCUUCAACGUAUCAGUAUCCUCGUUUUUUAGAAAUAUAUAUAUUAAAAAUAUAUAUAAAAAAAUGACGCAUCCUUAGAUGUAUCUAUAUCUUAGUUUUUUAGAAAUUGAUGAAUCGUCGUAUUCGAUCAUAUCUGUAUCAUGUAGUCGUAUCUGUGUCUAUGCUUCAUAACUGCAUAGGUAGCAUGAUGUGGAUUAAUCUUUCAACACGUGUUCAAUUCCAAGUUCCUACGAUUAUGCUUAGUUUGCAUUUAUACAUUUCUUGUUUUGGAACCAAUAACAUUCAGGAAAUGGACUAUGUUGUUCGAUUUUUUAGUCCUCAAUGUCAAUGAGCUCGGACUAUUGUGCAAGAUAUUUCAAGUAGGUUUUACGAUUUCUUUGCUAUGGAUAUGAUGGUGUUUACGUCUGUCUAUGAAGUGGACAAAGAGUUAUUGUAUGGGAAAAAAAAAAAGGUCAAGUCGUGGAAAAUGUAGUCACUAUUCAGGUACGUGAUAUCUUAUUGAUAUCUGAUUCUGUCGUUGCUCCAGUAUUUAUGCAAAUGCUGCAGACUUAAUUCCACUACUCUUUUUGCUUCUUCUCUGUAGUUAUUUAUAUCUUUUCGGUUCUGCGAAUAAAAGACCUUUACCUUGUCUUCUGCAGUUGGAUUUGUUGUUUUGUAGUUGUUACAUUUUAUUAUUAUUAUUAUCAUUAUUAUUUUAAUAAACCAAACUUUCAUUGAGAUUGAUGGAAGGAUAUACAAGGGCAAACAGAAACAACAAACAAGCCCAAUAAACAAAACAACCCACUCCAAUUGUGGUCUUGGAAUGCUAUUUUGUAGUUCCUUUGUGAUGAUCCUAUCCCUGAAGGGUGGUCUUGGCUAAAACUUACGAGAAAAAUAAUUGUCCUUAUUAAAUAUUCAACUUCGAUUUCUUCUUCAACUUAGUACUGGAGAAUGCUAAAUGCACUGUAUUCUAUGAUUUUCGCAGCUUUAAAACUGGAAUUGAUUGCUUAUUGGUUCAGAAAUUUACUUGUUCCUAUACAGGGGGUUGACAUCGUCAGGAUAUUUGCUAGCUAUUGGAGACAACUAAAUGUGCGAGCUUCAUCCCGAUGGAAAUAGCUGGCAGCAGUGGCAUACCCUGUUUCUACAUUGCAUGCAUCAGCUCACAAUCCCAAGCAUGAAUUCAUCUCCAAAUGCAAUGACUGGAUAUAUGAUUUUAGAAGGCUAAUACAUAGUAGUGAUGUGAUCUUAAAUCUGUGAUCAUGUCAACUUCCUGUUGUUCUACAGUUUGGAUUUUUUCAAAGGACUAAUCACGAGCAAACUGGUGUAAGAAUACUGCUUUUUCACUUUGCAACGAGUGGCUGGCUAUGAGCUGUAUGGAAUGGAAUCAUGUGCAAUAAGAAGGGGACAUUAGCUUUCUUUUAUUUUAAGUUAAAAUUCUCUCUGUUUCGAAAGUGGAGGGAAGAAAGAGAGAUAUUUUACUUUUUAUGAUUAAACAAUGAGAUAUCAACUGAAGUUGUAAAUAUUAUUUAUCUUUAAACUUACUAAGGAUGGUACAUGGUCCAAAACGUGCUAUAUUUUUGUA